rnacentral:rRNA from 1 species
GAUGAACGCUAGCUACAGGCUUAACACAUGCAAGUCGAGGGGAAACGACAUCGAAAGCUUGCUAAAUUUGAUGGCGACCGGCGCAUGGGUGAGUAACGCGUAUCCAACCUUCCCCUGUCCACGGGAUAGCCCGUCGAAAGGCGGAUUAAUACCGUAUGAGGUCACACGAUGGCAUCAGACUGUGACGAAAGGUUUGGCGGACAGGGAUGGGGAUGCGUCCGAUUAGCUUGUUGGCGGGGUAACGGCCCACCAAGGCAACGAUCGGUAGGGGUUCUGAGAGGAAGGUCCCCCACAUUGGAACUGAGACACGGUCCAAACUCCUACGGGAGGCAGCAGUGAGGAAUAUUGGUCAAUGGGCGAGAGCCUGAACCAGCCAAGUAGCGUGCAGGACGACGGCCCUAUGGGUUGUAAACUGCUUUUAUAAGGGAAUAAAGUGAGUCUCGUGAGACUUUUUGCAUGUACCUUAUGAAUAAGGACCGGCUAAUUCCGUG